rnacentral:rRNA from 1 species
AGUGAACGCUGGCGGUAGGCCUAACACAUGCAAGUCGAACGGCAGCACAGUAAGAGCUUGCUCUUACGGGUGGCGAGUGGCGGACGGGUGAGGAAUACAUCGGAAUCUACUUUUUCGUGGGGGAUAACGUAGGGAAACUUACGCUAAUACCGCAUACGACCUACGGGUGAAAGCAGGGGAUCUUCGGACCUUGCGCGAUUGAAUGAGCCGAUGUCGGAUUAGCUAGUUGGCGGGGUAAAGGCCCACCAAGGCGACGAUCCGUAGCUGGUCUGAGAGGAUGAUCAGACACACUGGAACUGAGACACGGUCCAGACUCCUACGGGAGGCAGCAGUGGGGAAUAUUGGACAAUGGGCGAAAGCCUGAUACAGCAAUACCGCGUGGGUGAAGAAGGACUUCGGGUUGGAAAGCCAUUUUGUUGGGAAAGAAAAGAAGCAGGUUAAUACGAGGCUGUACUGACGGUACCCAAAGAAUAAGCACCGGCUAACUUCGUG